rnacentral:lncRNA from 1 species
CUUCUAGGCAGCGCGCCGGCUGCCCCCUCUCGGGUCUGCCGGCCCGCAGCAUCUCGUUGGUGCUGCCGGUGACCUCCGACCCCACGGCCGCGGGGCGGGGCGGGGAGGACUCGGCUUCGGGCGGGCGGUGGUUGCUGCAGCGGGACCCGGGAGUGGGACCCGGAGCGGGCCCCCCGGCGCCGCCCGGGCCUCGGGGCGAUACGCCCACCUUGCUGCCUACCAUCAGGGGCAGGAUGAUCACAUCCCGAAGGUGUGUGUCUUCACUACCACUGGCUUCUUUCUCCCUGGGCGGUGCCCCCUUCUUGGCCUUGCACAGGGGCUUCAGCCUCAGGCCACAGUUUGUCCCGCCACUGCACACUGUAGUGCUGUAUCAGCUCUUUGUAGGACUCGUCCAGCUGCUGGUCCAGGUCCACACCACGGUAGGCAAACUUGUGGAAAGUUCGCUGUUUCUGCUCUGCUUCCGCCAUCUUGUCAGCUCUUAGGAAAAGUCCAGUGUCCUUUUGAGAAAGCUCCUUGUAGAGUUAAAAUUCUCUGCAAAGGUAGGGUGGUGUUUUGGGUGUUGGUUCUAACAGGAUUCAGACAGGAUCUAAAAAUGACUU